rnacentral:rRNA from 1 species
GGGCAAUCUGYCCUGCACUCUGGGACAAGCCCUGGAAACGGGGUCUAAUACCGGAUAUGACCGUCUUGGGCAUCCUUGAUGGUGUAAAGCUCCGGCGGUGCAGGAUGAGCCCGCGGCCUAUCAGCUUGUUGGUGAGGUAACGGCUCACCAAGGCGACGACGGGUAGCCGGCCUGAGAGGGCGACCGGCCACACUGGGACUGAGACACGGCCCAGACUCCUACGGGAGGCAGCAGUGGGGAAUAUUGCACAAUGGGCGAAAGCCUGAUGCAGCGACGCCGCGUGAGGGAUGACGGCCUUCGGGUUGUAAACCUCUUUCAGCAGGGAAGAAGCGAAAGUGACGGUACCUGCAGAAGAAGCGCCGGCUAACUACGUGCCAGCAGCCGCGGUAAUACGUAGGGCGCAAGCGUUGUCCGGAAUUAUUGGGCGUAAAGAGCUCGUAGGCGGCUUGUCGCGUCGGUUGUGAAAGCYCGGGGCUUAACCCCGGGUCUGCAGUCGAUACGGGCAGGCUAGAGUUCGGUAGGGGAGAUCGGAAUUCCUGGUGUAGCGGUGAAAUGCGCAGAUAUCAGGAGGAACACYGGUGGCGAAAGCGGAUCUCUGGGCYGAUACUGAYGCUGAGGAGCGAAAGCGUGGGGAGCGAACAGGAUUAGAUAYCCUGGUAGUCYACGCCGUAAACGGUGGGCACUAGGUGUGGGCAACAUU